UAACGUAACAUAAAUAAGGAACAGUCAUCAGGUGGUUCAUAAGCAAUUAACUCUACUAUUCCACAGAAUUGACGCAAUAUGCAAGAAAGCUGUGAGCUAGCGGAUAUCCGUGUACUGUGAAUCUUAAGUAACGACGUAGACCUACCUAAUUAAUCAAUAGCUACGAGAUGUUUUGUGUCCGCUUUUAUACGUCUUCAAAACUGAAAAUGCUCCUAAGCACGUUUCAAAAUAUCUUUGUGAUUAUUUAGAAAAAUAUACAAAAUAUGCCUAGCACAUUAUUUGGAAAAAAUGAAACAGGAAGAUAUCUCUUAUAACUAUGAAAAAUUUAACUAGCCAAAACUAUAUAAAUAGCGAAAAUAGUUUUUUCUCUUUAAAACAGUCAUUAAAAACGUUUAGUUCCUCGCAAAAAUAUUGAUAUCUUCUAAUAGAUUCUCUCGAUAAACGUUAAAAAAAAUAACGCGUAUAGGUCUCUGAACGAUCUUGUAGAAUUAAUUAUCCGCUGCGUCCGUGUUCUCCAUAACGCCAUCAUUAGCGGAUCAUGCGGCCUUAAGGACCGCAGAAGCUCAUGUGAUGAUCCUUAAUUUGCUUAGCCUCCAGACACUAAAGGCGUUCUCCAAAUGGGGCAAGAUUUUACUUUUAGACAAGCUGAUAUUAUCGCGUUCAUUUAAAUGAUCACACGCAGACCGACAUCGUAUACGAGACAGUUCAAACGAGUUUCUCUCUCUCUCUUUCUCUCCCGUCUACUUGUUGCACCAGCUUGGUCACGAUAAGGGAAACUCGGUCUAUUGAUUUUGCAUUGGCCUUAAAGCAAUGAGAUUUUAUAGCGGUACACGUGGACAUCCCUUCUUGAGACCGAUCUCCAUUGUUCUUUGGAAUGUUUGCGUGAUAUCAAACGGUCAGUUUAUUUCUGAAUUUCGCCUCUAUCUCCACCCUGUUGGCCAAUUACAAAUUUCUUAUCAUCCUGAAAGAGAAGCGAACGAGUGAGACCAAAUAUUAUUUGUUUCUUUUCUUCGUCUUUAUCUCCUCUAUAAUUAUUUCACAAAAUGAUACCAAUAUGUUCGUUGUGAUUUUCAAUGUUUUCAGGCCUUUGAAGGAAUUCUUCUAUGUGUUAGGUGUUGAAAGUUGAGAUUUUUGAAAGAAUUAUUCAGCCUGCAAUUUUAUCACGUACUUGGACGAUUUCCGGGAAGAUCGAGACGAUUCCUUGAGUGACGCGUGCCGAAGGUUUUUCCGUCGAAGACAAUGCCCUAGGUCAGAGGGACAACUGGAACGCCGUGAGAGGGUGGGAGUGCGGAGAAGUAGCUCCUAUAUUAAAUCAUGGCGAGGCCACUUCCCAAAGUCAGUUCUACGUUGAACGCUCAGCCAAGAAACUCUUCAUCGGUGACUCUUUUUCCAUCGUUUUAUCGAGCAACACGUUAUCAUCUCUUCUUCUACUUUACUGUGAAGAUAUCCUUGUGAGCGGUGUCUAUUCCUCGAUACAAUCAAGUGUAAAGAAAAAGAAGAAAAUAAAAGAAUUUUUCAAAUAUCACACUGAAGUAUCAAGCUGGUGACUACGUUCUUCAACUAAAUUAUCUCGUGUAUCAAGAGAGAGUAGAAGAAGUAGCUUCCGACGUCUAUCUACGACAAUUUCGGGCAUGAAGUUAACAGCGUGGAAUUCUGUGUGCAUCCUGAUAGUCGUCUUCUUCCUAAUGGUUACCACGUCUGCAUAUCCUGCUGGCAAUCCAGAGAUAAUGUAUAACUUGCAGGCGAUCGAGAAUAUGCGACAGAUCCCACAGUGGCACUGUUUACGCUACAGAAAAUUCGAUCUCGUACGCCGGUGUCGGAAUUACCGUUUAGGAAGGAAA